UGGUGGAGUGAUUUGUCUGGUUAAUUCCGUUAACGAACGAGACCUCGACCUGCUAAAUAGUCUGCCGAUCUCCGGAUGGGCAGUACUUCUUAGAGGGACAAUCGGUGUGUAGCCGAUGGAAGUUCGAGGCAAUAACA
rnacentral:rRNA from 1 species